CGAACGCUGGCGGCGUGCCUAACACAUGCAAGUCGAGCGCGAAAGCUCCUUCGGGAGCCUUAAAGCGGCAGACGGGUGAGUAACACGUGGGUAACCUGUCCCUGAGUGGGGGAUAACUACUCGAAAGGGUGGCUAAUACCGCAUAAGACCACGGCCUUUUGGGGCUGAGGUCAAAGGCGCAAGCCGCUUAGGGAGGGGCCCGCGGCCGAUUAGCUAGUUGGCAGGGUAAUGGCCUACCAAGGCGACGAUCGGUAGCUGGUCUGAGAGGAUGAUCAGCCACACUGGUACUGAGACACGGACCAGACUCCUACGGGAGGCAGCAGUGGGGAAUAUUGCGCAAUGGGCGAAAGCCUGACGCAGCAACGCCGCGUGGGUGAUGAAGGCCUUCGGGUCGUAAAGCCCUGUCAGAUGGGACGAAGCAAGUGACGGUACCAUCGAAGGAAGCACCGGCUAACUCCGUGCCAGCAGCCGCGGUAAUACGGAGGGUGCAAGCGUUGUUCGGAAUCACUGGGCGUAAAGGGCGCGUAGGCGGUCCCAAAAGUCUGAUGUGAAAGCCCGGGGCUCAACCCCGGAAGUGCAUUGGAAACUGUGGGACUUGAGUUCGGGAGAGGAAGGCAGAAUUCCCGGUGUAGGGUUGAAAUCCGUAGAUAUCGGGAGGAAAACCGGUGGCGAAGGCGGCCUUCUGGAACGAAACUGACGCUGAGGCGCGAAAGCGUGGGGAGCAAACAGGAUUAGAGACCCUGGUAGUCCACGCUGUAAACGAUGGAUGCUGGGUGUGGGAUUCAAUACGGAAUUCCGUGCCGAAGCUAACGCAUUAAGCAUCCCGCCUGGGGAGUACGGUCGCAAGACUAAAACUCAAAU
rnacentral:rRNA from 1 species